AAUACCGCGUAACGCCGCGGGGCUGCAUGGCCCGGCGGCCAAAAGGAAGCGAUUCCGGUGGGGGAUGGGCAUGCGGCGCAUUAGCUAGUCGGCGGGGUAACGGCCCACCGAGGCGACGAUGCGUAGGGGUUCUGAGAGGAAGGUCCCCCACACUGGUACUGAGACACGGACCAGACUCCUACGGGAGGCAGCAGUGAAGAAUAUUGGUCAAUGGGCGGGAGCCUGAACCAGCCAAGUCGCGUGAGGGAAGACGGUCCUAUGGAUUGUAAACCUCUUUUGCCGGGGAGCAACGGGGUCCUUGCGAGGGCCUAAUGAGAGUACCCGGAGAAAAAGCAUCGGCUAACUCCGUGCCAGCAGCCGCGGUAAUACGGAGGAUGCGAGCGUUAUCCGGAUUUAUUGGGUUUAAAGGGUGCGUAGGCGGGCUGUUAAGUCAGCGGUCAAAUGUCGGGGCUCAACCCCGGCCUGCCGUUGAAACUGGCGGCCUCGAGUGGGCGAGAAGUAUGCGGAAUGCGUGGUGUAGCGGUGAAAUGCAUAGAUAUCACGCAGAACUCCGAUUGCGAAGGCAGUAUACCGGCGCCCUACUGACGCUGAGGCACGAAAGCGUGGGUAUCGAACAGGAUUAGAUACCCUGGUAGUCCACGCAGUAAACGAUGAAUGCUAGCUGUCCGGUUCUACGGGACUGGGUGGCACAGC
rnacentral:rRNA from 1 species